rnacentral:rRNA from 1 species
GUAGGUGGCAAGCGUUCGUCCGGAAUUAUUGGGCGUAAAGCGCGCGCAGGCGGUUUUUUAAGUCUGAUGUGAAAGCCCACGGCUCAACCGUGGAGGGUCAUUGGAAACUGGAGAACUUGAGUACAGAAGAGGAAAGCGGAAUUCCACGUGUAGCGGUGAAAUGCGUAGAGAUGUGGAGGAACACCAGUGGCGAAGGCGGCUUUCUGGUCUGUAACUGACGCUGAGGCGCGAAAGCGUGGGGAGCAAACAGGGAUUAGAUACCCUGGUAGUCCACGCCGUAAACGAUGAGUGCUAAGUGUUAGGGGGUUCCCGCCCCUUAGUGCUGCAGCUAACGCAUUAAGCACUCGCCUGGGGAUACGGCCGCAAGGCUG